CACACCCCUGUCCCCCUCAAUUCCAGUAAUUGUUUUACUAAUGGUAACGCAGUUACUAAGAUGAAGUCAGUGAACAAAUAUUGGAUAUGUCCAAGACCCACCCACCCCACAAACAGAAACGAGCCACCAUUCAGUUUCCCCAUUUUUCGGAUCUGGAGAGGCGAUGGUUGCGGCAUCCAGGUAGCGGCGAUGACGAGGAGCGCCGGCGGUAGCCAUGGUGCGGGAGGUGAUGAUCAGGAAGCAGAGGAGGCAGCGACGGCGAAGAAGCUUCGUUGGGACCUCCACCUCCUCCUCACGGAGCUUUGUCAUCAUGCUCACCACUGCCGGUGCCCUCCCGGUGUCGUCCUCUCUCUCCGUCGCCGGCCCCAUUGCCCCGCAACCCCCUCCCCGUCGUCGACACGGUGGCUGCCUCCCGCUCCUCAAAAUCCACAGGUUCAUUACAUGCGGUGAUGAAGUUAAUAUACAUCAGGUACCUAACAGGUCCAUUGCUUUAUUUGUCUGCAAAGUUCAGAGGAGUCUAGUUGCCAGGUCGGAGCGCAGCUAGAGGAUCCUAGGUAAUCUCCUGACGCAGGCACAAUUAUGCUCUGAUUUCUUCCCCAAACUUCAUCCGCAUAUCUGUGAAUGGAACAAUUUUCUUUUGUUGUCUUUUAGCUAGAAAUUUUUCUUUGAUUAGGGGGGAGAUUGAGAAAAAUGGUAAGAUUGAAACACAUUAUUGAGGUAUGAAUCUGAUUACAGUAGGUACUAGGCAAGAUUUUCACCGGGCAGGUACUAGGCAGAAUAUUGAUUAUUACAAUAGCACAACAGAAGUGGAGAACAAUCUGAUUUGUACAACAAGAAGGCUGAAGCGAUGCCAUCGUCAGCCCUUAUAAACAACAAAGCUAAAGUUCAGUUUGCAGACCUUCCUGAGAAUUUGAUGUGAUUAAGUCUCAGAAAUGCCACAGAAGGAUGUUGUGAGAACUGAUUUAUUGUCAAGUUAAUGGAGGUGCAUGCAUGUGGACUUGUUGCACGAAACUUUGACUUGAUGGUGUUAUGGUGUCUAGCGAUAAUAUUAAUGCAGUCUUGCAGCAGCACUCUAGUUUGGUCGAAGAGUUUGAGGUGAAGUUUGAAGUUGACAGCAAGCUAGUUGAUCACUCAAUGGUUUGGUCGAUUUUGCUGUAUCAUCACAGGCCAAUAAAGUUGCUUUUGAUUUAGAGCAGAGGCCUUCCUUUUUUUUUUCUCGGAUGGAUUCUCCUGUGUUUAUAAACGGCAUUGCCGUGGAGUAAAAUAUUUACUCAGACAGUAAUAUUGUAUCAUGCUGUGUAUGCUGAUUGUAAAAAAAUUACUAUUCUCAUAUUGUCGUCUAGUGGAACAUUCACUACGCGUUAA